rnacentral:rRNA from 1 species
GAUGAACGCUGGCGGCGUGCCUAAUACAUGCAAGUCGAGCGAACAGAUGAGGAGCUUGCUCCUCUGACGUUAGCGGCGGACGGGUGAGUAACACGUGGAUAACCUACCUAUAAGACUGGGAUAACUUCGGGAAACCGGAGCUAAUACCGGAUAAUAUAUUGAACCGCAUGGUUCAAUAGUGAAAGACGGUUUUGCUGUCACUUAUAGAUGGAUCCGCGCCGCAUUAGCUAGUUGGUAAGGUAACGGCUUACCAAGGCAACGAUGCGUAGCCGACCUGAGAGGGUGUACGGCCCCCCAGAACGUGAGCACCGUCCCCGCCUCCUAGGGACGGCCGAGACGGGUAUCUUCCGCAACAGGGGGAAAGCCUGCCGGAGCAACGCCGGGGGGGUGAUGAAGGGCUUCGGGUCGUAAAACCUUUUUCUGGGGGAAAAACAAAUUUGUAAGUAACUAUGCCCGUUUGACCGGAACCUAUAAAGAAGCCCCGGCCAACCACCUG